rnacentral:rRNA from 1 species
UCAGGCAUGUGCACGCCUUUCUCUUUUAUCCAUACACACCUGUGCACCUGUAGACAGAUUUAGGGGAACUUUCAUUUUUUUUGAGUGGGGACCCUGCUGUCUAUUUAAUUUUAUAUAAACUCAAUUUAUUUUAAAAUGAAUGUAAUGGAUGUAACACAUCUAAUACUAAGUUUCAACAACGGAUCUCUUGGCUCUCGCAUCGAUGAAGAACGCAGCGAAAUGCGAUAAGUAAUGUGAAUUGCAGAAUUCAGUGAAUCAUCGAAUCUUUGAACGCACCUUGCGCUCCUCGGUAUUCCUUGGAGCAUGCCUGUUUGAGUAUCGUGAAAUCUUCAAAGUAAAUCUUUUGUUCACUCAAUUGGUUCUACUUUGGUAUUGGAGGUUUAUUGCAGCUUCACACCUGCUCCUCUUUGUGCAUUAGCUGGAUUCUCAGUGUUAUGCUUGGUUCCACUUGGCGUGGUAAAGUUAAUUUAAUCGCUGAGGACACUCUCUAUAACCAAAAAAAGGGGGGGGUGGCCAAGGUAAAUACAGAUGAACCCGCUUCUAAUAGUCCAUUGGCUUGGACAAAAAUUAUUUAUUACGAUCUGAUCUCAAAUCAGGUAGGACUACCCGCUGAACUU